UCGGAAUUGCUAGUAAUCGCGGAUCAGCAUGCCGCGGUGAAUACGUUCCCGGGCCUUGUACACACCGCCCGUCACACCAUGGGAGCCGGUAAUACCCGAAGUCAGUAGUCCAACCACGUGAGGACGCUGCCGAAGGUAGGAUUGGCGACUGGGGUGAAGUCGUAACAAGGUACC
rnacentral:rRNA from 1 species